GACGGUGGACAAGUGAUCAUUCAACCAGCACCGAGCAAGGGGCGGCCUCCAAAUGGCCUCCGGCGACCUGGCCCAAUCUAAAUUAUAACCUAGGAGUGGCAACCAGACGGAUCUGGGCUCACGAUCUUUGCCCCCAUCUUCCGGUCCUUCCUCAGCCAGAAGGGUGGAACCUCCUCCGAUAAGAGGAAAACUGAAGAGAUGAAACCAAAGGAGCACAAACCAAGUCGAGUGAGAACAAGCCCGUGAUGACAGAAUGAUCACUGAUGAUCUAAAAGUCCAACUGCAUAGCAUAUGACUAAUUCACAUGUAAUGCUUAACUGAAUAACGUUAUCAUGUAUUGGUUUCCUGCUACUACAUUUUUAACUUUUCCUCAAGGGACUCAUUUUCUUUUGAUAAUUUUGAAUAGCUUUGUUUCUA